GGGAGGGUCGCGUAGCGGCUAUCGCAGCGGACUGUAACUCCGCCGCCUUCGGGCACCGCGGGUUCGAAUCCCGCUCCUCCCA
rnacentral:tRNA from 1 species